rnacentral:lncRNA from 1 species
CUGAUGAGAAGGAAAAAUGAUGUAAUCCAUUUUAGAAUAAGGCUGUACUUUCCGAAUGCACUGUAAAUAAAUAUCUUUCCUCCUCAGAUCUACAGAGUCUACUGAAGCAGAAGAGCAAGCAGCUUGAAGAAAACACUACACAACUGAGGGCUGUAGAUGCCAAAAAUGCAGAACAGAGUAUGUUGACAAGAGUAGUCAUUAGAAAUCAUUAAACAUUUAUAAUCUUCUGAAAGGUUGAAUACCAUGAUUUGAUGUUAGUUUUGGAUUAAACAUGCCUUUUUGAUCUGUUAUUUCAGUUCUGAAGAUCAUUGAACUACAGAAACAAAUGAAUGAGAUACAGAUUGAAGCUUCAAAAGGCAAAAAUGAAAUUGCAUCAGAAAUCUCUGGUUUGUCUAUUUUGUCUCAUGUUCCACUUAUGUAUGAUCAUUAAAAUCUCACAUGCUGAAUAGUGUUAAAAAUAAGUGUGUUUGGGGAAAUUGUUAUGUAUAGUCAUCAUGAUGUACCGAGUAUAUGUAGCAAUAUGCUAACAUUAGUACUUCAAUUACAGCGCUUCAGGAACAACUAGAGGCCAGAGAGGAAGAGAGCGCCAGAUGUCAGGCCCAGAACAAAGACCUGGAGAAGAGGCUGGGCGAUAAGGAUGCACAGUGCUCUGGACUCCAGGACCGAUAUGACAGUGAGCUUCAC